UGUUGCUGUUGCUGCUGGUGCUUUUGGCGAUGCUGCUGAAGGUCAGCUGGUGCAAUGGCCUCCUCCCGGUUGUCGUUGUCGUUGUCCUCGCCAUCGGCCUCGCCAAACUCAUCAUCAUCGUCAUCGUCAUCAUCAUCAUCAUCAUCA
rnacentral:miRNA from 1 species